GGCGGGCCUAACACAUGCAAGUCGAACGAGAAUGUAGGCUUCGGUCUACUAGUAAAGUGGCGGACGGGUGCGUAACACGUGGGUAAUCUACCUUCCGGCGGGGGACAACAGUCCGAAAGGAUUGCUAAUACCGCAUACGUCAGCGAGGCCUACGGGCUUUGUUGGGAAAGAUGGCCUCUCUUCAGAAGCUGUCACCGGAAGAUGAGCCCGCGCCCCAUCAGCUAGUUGGUGAGGUAAUGGCUCACCAAGGCUUAGACGGGUAGCUGGUCUGAGAGGAUGAUCAGCCACACUGGGACUGCGACACGGCCCAGACUCCUACGGGAGGCAGCAGUGGGGAAUAUUGGGCAAUGGGCGAAAGCCUGACCCAGCCACGCCGCGUGAGUGAUGAAGGCCUUCGGGUCGUAAAGCUCUGUGGGGAGGGACGAAUAAGCCUGGUAUUAACACCACCGGGCCCUGACGGUACCUCCUUAGCAAGCACCGGCUAACCCUGUGCCAGCAGCCGCGGUAAUACAGGGGGUGCAAACGUUGCUCGGAAUUAUUGGGCGUAAAGCGCACGUA
rnacentral:rRNA from 1 species